GACAGAGGAGCCAAGCGUUGUCCGGAUUGACUGGGCGUAAAGCGCACGCAGGCGGUCGCGCGCGUGGGGUGUGAAAUCUGGCCGCUUAACGGCCAGGCGCCAUCCCAUACGGCGCGACUGGAGUGAUGCAGAGGUCGAUGGAAUUGCCGGUGUAGUGGUGAAAUGCGUAGAGAUCAGGAAGAACACCGGUGGCGAAAGCGCUCUGCUGGACCUAAACUGACACUGAGGGACGAAAGCCAGGGGAGCAAACCGGGG
rnacentral:rRNA from 1 species